AACGUAGGUGGCGAGCGUUAUCCGGAAUUACUGGGCGUAAAGCGUGUGCAGGCGGGCUUACAAGUGGGGUAUGAAAUAUCCCGGCUUAACCGGGAGGGGUUAUGCCAGACUGUCAGUCUUGAGUGCGAGAGAGGAGCGUGGAAUUCCGGGUGUAGUGGUGAAAUGCGUAGAGAUUGGGAAGAACACCAGCGGCGAAAGCGUGCUACUGGGUCUGCACUGACACUGAGGGACGAAAGCUAGGGGAGCGAAAGGG
rnacentral:rRNA from 1 species